rnacentral:lncRNA from 1 species
AGACCGCCGGUUCCUAGAGCCUCUGACUUCUGCAUGAGGAAGUCGCUGAAUCAUGUGGUCCACAUAACUUACUAAAACCUUGUCAGGACUUUAUUUUCCAGAAAGCCAAGUUCUGGAUAAAGAGUGUGUGUGUUCUGGAGUUUAGCCCAAUUACUGCCGUAUUUUUAGGGAGCUAUGCCUACUGAAGGGCUGGGGAGGCGGGUAAAGGAACUGUGAGGAUUGUGCUAAGUAUACAGAAUUUUACAUUUUCUCAGUAAUUCCUUUUUUCUCAAUGUCAGCGUGGCUUCUUUAUUUACCUUCUUCCUUCAG